UACGUAGGGUGCGAGCGUUAAUCGGAAUUACUGGGCGUAAAGCGUGCGCAGGCGGUUCGUUGUGUCGGUGGUGAAAUCCCCGGGCUUAACCUGGGAAUGGCCAUGGAAACUGGCGAACUGGAGUCCGGAAGAGGCGAGUGGAAUUCCUGGUGUAGCGGUGAAAUGCGCAGAUAUCAGGAGGAACACCAAUGGCGAAGGCAGCUCGCUGGGACGUGACUGACGCUGAGACGCGAAAGCGUGGGGAGCAAACAGG
rnacentral:rRNA from 1 species